GGAAAAAAAAUACCCCAAGGAGAGUACAUAGAUGAGUCUUAAGACUCAUCUAUGUACUCUCCUUGGGGCAUUUUUUCUUGAAGCUUAUAC
rnacentral:miRNA from 1 species